AAUAACCCCCACCAGCCCCUCCUCAUCUGCUCAGACCCCUUUUUCCCGGGCCAGGAGUCACUCUAUCUCUUGGUCUCCAACACCUUCAGCUGGCACCAUUUGCUAGAGGAAGGGGCCAGGCCAUCAGUUCGCUAAA